CGAAGAAUGGAUAUUACUGAAAAGGAGCACGAGAAUAAAGAAGUGAUAGAAACACAACAUCAUGAAAGUGAAACAACUCAUUGAGGCAAGCAUUAAGUCCUUUGGUGUUGUGUGUUGGGUAGGGUUGCUGACUCCUCUGGGGUGAGGGAGACUCAUCCUGAGCAGCAUACAGCACCAAGAUAAGGCGAUACAGCUAACCUGCACAACGCCAGGAAACGGAAAAUUAAAUACCGAAGAAACGAUAUUACAGAAAAAGAAUACGAAAAUAAAAAAAAGUCAUGGAAACACAACAUGGACUGACACUCUGAUGACGACCCACGCAACAAGGCCCCCUGACACUCCCUGGACACUCUCUGAUCAAUGGACGGACACUCUGAUGACGACCCACGCAACAAGGCCCCUGACACUCCCUGGACACUCUCUGAACAAUGGACGGACACGCUGAUGACGACCCACGCAACAAGGCCCCUGACACUCCCUGGACACUCUCUGAACAAUGGACGGACACGCUGAUGACGACCCACGCAACAAGGCCCCUGACACUCCCUGGACACUCUCUGAACAAUGGACGGACACGCUGAUGACGACCCACGCAACAAGGCCCCUGACACUCCCUGGACACUCUGAACACUGCCCUGACCAUUUGCAACAAAAAAUCUCCUCACGACGUAACCUAAAAAGGACAAAAUCCCCCCCGACAAAAAAAAAAAAAUAGUUAACUUUCCAAACUAUAACGAAAUAGUUGUCACCAACAAGACAUCAAAAUAAAGAAGCCAUAAAAAAGAAAAAGAAAAAAAGCAACAAAGAAAUCAACUCAAGCAGUAGUAAAAAAAAAAAGACCUAACAAA